rnacentral:rRNA from 1 species
AGUCGAACGGUUCUUUUAGUUUUUUAUGCUUAUGUGUAUUAAACUUAAAGAAUAGUGGCAAACGGGUGAGUAACGCGUAGAUAAUCUACCUCGAAGAUGGGGAUAGCUCGCCGAAAGGCGGGGUAAUACCCAAUAGUCUACACUCACAUAUGUGUUGUGUAGUAAAGCUCCGGCGCUUCGAGAGGAGUCUGCGUUCUAUCAGCUUGUUGGUAAGGUAAUGGCUUACCAAGGCUAAGACGGAUAGCUGGCGUGAGAGCGUGACCAGCCACAAUGGGACUGAGACAAGGCCCAUACUCCUACGGGAGGCAGCAAUUAGGAAUCUUGCACAAUGGGGGCAACCCUGAUGCAGCGACGCCGCGUGGAGGAAGAAGGUCUUCGGAUCGUAAACUCCUUUUAUGUGGGAAGAAUAACUGACGGUACCACAUGAAUAAGUACCUGCUAACUACGUGCCAGAAGCAUCGGUGAUGCGUAGGGUACGAACGUUACCCGGACUUAUUGGGCGUAAAGCGAUGCGUAGGCGUUCUCAUAAGUCUGAUGUUAAAGACUUCUGCUCAACAGAAGAAAAGCAUUGGAAACUGUGGGAAUUGAGACAGAGAGGGGUGAGUGGAAUUUCCGGUGGAGCAGUGAAAUGCGUUGAUAUCGGAAGGAACACCAGAGGCGAAGGCGACUCACUGGCUCUGUUCUGACGCUGAGGCUCGAAAGCAUGGGUAGCAAAACGGAUUAGAUACCCGUGUAGUCCAUGCUGUAAACGCUGAAUGCUAGGCGUUUGAC